UUACGGCCAUAUCACGCUGAAACACCGGUUCUCAUACGAUGACCGAAGUUAAGCAAUGUUGAGCCUGUUCAGUACCUAGAUAAUUGACUAUUUGGGAAUAUCAGGUACUGUAAG